AGUAGGGAAUAUUGGACAAUGGGGGCAACCCUGAUCCAGCCAUGCCGCGUGAGUGAAGAAGGCCCUCGGGUUGUAAAGCUCUUUUGUCCGGAAAGAAAAGCAUCUGGUUAAUACCCGGGUGUUCUGACGGUACCGGAAGAAUAAGCACCGGCUAACUUCGUGCCAGCAGCCGCGGUAAUACGAAGGGUGCAAGCGUUACUCGGAAUUACUGGGCGUAAAGCGUGCGUAGGUGGUUCGUUAAGUCUGAUGUGAAAGCCCUGGGCUCAACCUGGGAAUGGCAUUGGAUACUGGCGGGCUAGAGUGCGGUAGAGGGUAGUGGAAUUCCCGGUGUAGCAGUGAAAUGCGUAGAGAUCGGGAGGAACAUCUGUGGCGAAGGCGACUGCCUGGACCAGCACUGACACUGAGGCACGAAAGCGUGGGGAGCAAACAGGAUUAGAUACCCUGGUAGUCCACGCCCUAAACGAUGCGAACUGGAUGUUGGGUUCAACUUGGAACUCAGUAUCGAAGCUAACGCGUUAAGUUCGCCGCC
rnacentral:rRNA from 1 species